rnacentral:rRNA from 1 species
UACGGGGGGGGCAAGCGUUGUUCGGAAUUACUGGGCGUAAAGGGCUCGUAGGUGGCCAACUAAGUCGGACGUGAAAUCCCUCGGCUUAACCGGGGAACUGCGUCUGAUACUGGAUGGCUUGAGUUCGGGAGAGGGGUGCGGAAUUCCAGGUGUAGCGGUGAAAUGCGUAGAUAUCUGGAGGAACACCGGUGGCGAAGGCGGCAUCCUGGACCGACACUGACGCUGAGGAGCGAAAGCCAGGGGAGCAAACGGG